rnacentral:misc_RNA from 1 species
CACAAUAAAAUAUGAAGGCUGUACGCGGCUGUGCUCUCGGGCCAGUUUUGCGGAGGCUGAAUUAUUUAUUACCCUUGUCUUUUGCGCACUUGUUGUUUCCUGGGCGGGUUCGCCCGCCACCAGGACCACAUCAUAAACCCUUUUUAUGCAGUUGCAAUCAGCGUCAGUAUAACAAAUGUAAAUCAUUUA